rnacentral:rRNA from 1 species
UGUAAGGAGUGAUGGGGCCCAACCAUCACCAGAGUAGCAAUGGAGGGCAGUCUGUGCCAGCAGCCGCGGUAAUUCCAGCUCCAAUAGCGUAUAUUAAACUUGUUGCAGUUAAAAAGCUCGUAGUUGAAUUUUAGCGUGUUCGAGUUUGCCAUUCGUUUGGCUUUUUCGAGUUCGCUUUUGGGUUUUCCCUUUUUACUUUGAGAAAAUUAGAGUGUUUCAAGCAGACUUUUGUCUUGAAUACUUCAGCAUGGAAUAAUAGAAUAGGACUUUGGUGCUAUUUUGUUGGUUUUUGAACC